UACGAAGGGUGCAAGCGUUAAUCAGAAUUACUGGGCGUAAAGCGUGCGUAGGCGGUUGGCUAAGUCAGAUGUGAAAGCCCUGGGCUCAACCUGGGAAUGGCAUUUGAAACUGGCGAGCUAGAGUGUGAUAGAGGAUGGCGGAAUUCCCGGUGUAGCGGUGAAAUGCGUAGAGAUCGGGAGGAACAUCCGUGGCGAAGGCGGCCAUCUGGAUCAACACUGACGCUGAGGCACGAAAGCGUGGGGAGCAAACAGG
rnacentral:rRNA from 1 species